AGUGAACGCUGGCGGUAGGCCUAACACAUGCAAGUCGAACGGCAGCACAGUAAGAGCUUGCUCUUACGGGUGGCGAGUGGCGGACGGGAGAGGAAUACAUCGGAAUCUACUUUUUCGUGGGGGAUAACGUAGGGAAACUUAAGCUAAUACCGCAUACGACCUACGGGUGAAAGCAGGGGAUCUUCGGACCUUGCGCGAUUGAAUGAGCCGAUGUCGGAUUAGCUAGUUGGCGGGGUAAAGGCCCACCCAGGCGACGAUACGUAGCUGGUCUGAGUGGAUGAUCAGCCACACUGGAACUGAGACACGGUCCAUACUCCUACGGGAGGCAGCAGUGGGGAAUAGUGGACAAUGGGCGCAAGCCUGAUCCAGCCAUACCGCGUGGGUGAAGAAGGCCUUCGGGUUGUAAAGCCCUUUUGUUGGGAAAGAAAAGCAGCAGGUUAAGACCCCGCUGUUCUGACGGUACCCAAAGAAUAAGCACCGGCUAACUUCGUG
rnacentral:rRNA from 1 species